AUUUAUAUAGUUUAAUUAAAACCUUACUUUUUCAUAGUAAAAUUAGAAAUUUUCUUAUAAAUA
rnacentral:tRNA from 1 species